rnacentral:lncRNA from 1 species
GUCAGUAGUUCAGCAACAAAUACGAAUAAACCACUCGUAAAGAUGUUCUGUAAGGUACAGUACGUUUUCCUCGCCGAAAUAUAGAAAUUGAAAGAGUGUUUGCUUGUAGCAUAGAUGUGUAAACCCAUACAUCUAUGCUCGUAGUUUCAUCUGAUAUUGACGCCAUCUUAGAAUUAUCACUUAACAAAUAUCGGUUCUCAUUGGUUGACGUUUGAAAAUGAAUACAAUUCGGUUGGCUAGAAUGCAAUAUUCAAUUGUGAACAUUUCCUGGAAUGGGGGAGAUAACAAAUUACAGUAGAGGCAUUCAAGAUUCGAUCAGCAGAUAAAUACUUGACGAAAUAUGAUACUGCAAAGUACUCCGUACCUUUAAAUAAAGAUUGAAAUUGUAAUAAAAUUAAAUAAGUUUCGUGAGCGGAAAUAAACAUGUUGAUACUGACUUCGUUAUCAUUGACUUGUUUAUAAUAUAGUUUGCUUGUAUGUAUUUUAUAAUCAGUGUGAUGCUCAAGUGAACUGAUUUUAAUAGAAAGCAAGAAAAAGCACAACUUUAAAAAUUUAUGAUUAUAAUGAUAAAGUUAUUAUAUCGAUAUACUGUGUACAUUAUGUAUAGUAUGCUAAGAAUAUUUUUAAGUUAUCCAUUUAAGAAAUAUAUUGACGAGCAGUCCCUUUAUUUUUAUUUUUACGGUUUUAGUAAACAAAAAUCUGUUUAUUAGGUUAUUUUUAUGAGUUCAUCAGUAUUUUAAACAAACUUACUCUUGUAUCUGGUUAUCAUAAUAUCAUCUUGAAGUAGCGCUGGCAGAAUGUCAGUAUGUACCAUACACUUAGCACUAAAUUAUUCGAUGCUGCCUUGAUUAAGACGAUGCAGUUAAUCUCAUAAUUAACACAGUUUGUAUUCUAUGCAUAACACAUACUAUUCAUAACACAUGAUUUGUUCUUAUUAUUUGAUAAUGUUUCGCAUUUUCACUGCUGAUAAGCAUUUGUUUCACUAAACCAGUUUUCAUAUUAGUAACCCUCAUAUUAUAAAUACAAAGAUUGAGUCUUUUGUUUUUCAGGAUGGGAUAUGAACAUCUAAUUGCCUUCUGUAGAUGUCUACGUUUUUGGGUUUUUUUUAAAUAUUGUGGCUACAUUCUGACUUUUCUAAAUUGACUUUCAUUGUAAAAGUUCGAGUUUAAUAGCUUUUUAAAAUGCAAAGAUAUAUGCUUCCUUCAAAGGAAGGGACGUACAAUAAAACGGGUAAACAAAAAGAGAAGCGAAUCAUUAUUUGAAAACAAACUGACAACGCAAUGGCAAAACAAAAUGCUCAAAAGAUAAAUAACAUUAUCGCUAUUUUGUGCAUUUUUCGUUUGAUCUUUUUUUGUUAUAAUUUUCAUAUCAUGCUAUUCGCUUAAGAUUGAAAAAUUAUUGCUAGAAACUAAGCAGGCACGUGGCGUUGCUAACGAAAUUGACAUGAAAAUGACAACGUCGCCAUAGGUAAAAUAGCGAUAAACAGAUUAUCAUUGGUCAUCUCAACUCAAUUGCCUUUCUCGCUUUCGCCGUCCCUGCUGAAGCGAGAAAAUCAAUCUCGUUGAGAUGAUCAACAAUAAUCUAUAAGUAUACAAAACACAACAUAGAACGCUAACUGCUGAGCAACACAAAAUUAGAAAAGUAUUAUUUGUAAAACGUUUGCUUUAUUUUCACUGAGGUUAAAACUUAUGAAUUUAAAAAGAAAAGGUAAAUGGUAUAACUUCAUUUUAGAAUAAGAAAAUUUGUGUAACGAAGACUCUUAGACAAUUUUUUUUUAUGAUGUCUAAAUUAGGUACGAAUGGAUUUUAUAUAAUAUUGUUGCAAUUCACAGUAUAGAAACAAUACUGUCUUAAAGAUGAUCAUUCAAAUAAAAUUGAUACAUAAUUAUAAAUGUCUUUUUUUCGACUCAAGGAUGAAGAUGAUGAUGGCCCAAUAGAGUUCUUACAGUUAAAGAAAUACAGGAAAAUUGGUUCAGUGGUAAGUUCAAACUACUUACUUCGAAAACUUAAUCCUGAAUUGUACGCAUAAUGUUACAUUAUUGAAACGUUUACUUAACGUGAUUCACUUUAUAAAAAGGUAUUGACACAUUAAUAAGAACACAAUUAUAAAUCUUCUGUUUGCAAAACUCGAAUAUAUUUUGAAAUACUAUGGAUUUUCUACCUUAUAUAAAUAUUACCUUGGCUGUUUUUAUCAAUUAUGAGUCAAUGAUGGGUCUUUUGAAGACGAAACGCGCGUAUCGCGUACAAAAUAUUACUUUAGGUAUCUAUGAUGAGCUGUCACGAAAAUAAGAAGAUUGUCAAGAAACAUUUUGGUCUGUGAAAAUAGUUAUUGUUUAAGUGACAUUUGAACUGUUAGGUUUUAAGUUGUUGUUACAUCAACGACCUGACAGCUUUUAACUUUUACGAAACACUAUUUUUGUUUGUUUUUUUUAUUUUACGUUAUGCUCAUUAUCUUGCAUGUUGCGAUGAUCUUUACUCAACCCGAUGUGACUUCUUAAAAAGUCUUAAGAUCUACUCUAAAAUAUCAUAAAUAACUCUCAUAACUUUGCAAUAAUAGCAAUAAUUUGAUUUUUCUAUUCUAUAUAUGUAUUUAUAAAAUAAAUGACGAUAAACUUUAACCAAUUAUAAAAAAAAAAUGUCUAUAUAUAAUAAAUAUAUAUAAUUUACAAUAAGUACUAUUGCAUAUGAUUUAUUUACUUUUUAAGGAACACAUGCCUUGGAAUCUCAAACAGGACAGUAAAACAAAAUACCGAAAAGGUCCAGAUGACGAAAGCAUUGUUUGAAAUUAAGAACACUUUUUUUCUGAUGAAUGUUGAACAUUUACAAAAGUGUUAAUUUCCAUGCAAGUGCUAUUGACAAUUUGAGUUGUUUGGUUUCAGAGAUUUUUUCAUGAUUGACCAAAGAUGUUUGUUGGUUAAUUGUGUGGUGUUUUUUUCUUUAUAUCUUUAUUCAAUAAGAAUUUACUCGACCUGUUUUGUUUGAGAAUUUUUGUCUUCAUUAUUGAUUGAAGAUUUGUAAUUAUAAAACGUUUAACUACUAAUGUAUAAGCGGAAAAGUAAUUUUGAAUAAUAAAG